UGCCAGCAGCCGCGGUAAUACGAAAGGGGCAAGCGUUGUUCGGAAUUACUGGGCGUAAAGCGCACGUAGGCGGCCUUGUAAGUUGGGGGUGAAAUCCCGGGGCUCAACCCCGGAACUGCCUCUAAUACUGCUAGUCUUGAGUCCGAGAGAGGUGAGUGGAAUUCCUAGUGUAGAGGUGAAAUUCGUAGAUAUUCGGAGGAACACCAGUGGCGAAGGCGGCUCACUGGCUCGAUACUGACGCUGAGGUGCGAAAGCGUGGGGAGCAAACAGGAUUAGAUA
rnacentral:rRNA from 1 species